AUCUCGUCGGUGACAGCUGAUAAAAUUGGAUCGAUAUAGAAAAGAUUAGCAUUGGAGCCGGAACAAGGAUGACCCACACAAAGUAGUACCUCAAGCAAAUUAGU